UGAAUGAUCAAUCAACUAAGCAUAGAUGUAAACAUGGAUUUAACAAUUCUCACCAAGCAAGUGUUUCACUCAAUCACUCAAGUUUUUAGGAGGUCACUCUACUCUCUACUGUUCACAUGUCACAUAAAACAAUAUUGCCAUUCAUCUAAAACAAUCAAAAUCUUCACAUGCAAAUGUCAUCACAAGGACUUUUCCAAGGCUUGUAAUGUGGCUGAGCUAUCAAGAAAAAUUGGUUUUUCUAGAAUACAAAAUCCUUGAGUUAAGAGAGUUUAAAUCAUCAUUUAAAGUUCAAGCAUACUCUCUUUUUAACCAAUCGGGUGUAGGGCAGACGAUUUCAAAACCGAUUACCCAUUCAUUAGAUAGAGAAGAUCACCAAGAUUUCGUGAUUCGCUGUCGAACUUAUUCCAAUUCAAUAAGAGAUCUUACUCAUUCCCAACUUCUUCCCUUUUUCCUUUUACAUUGAGUUCACUUUACAUGCUUUUUCUCUUUUCUUCUUUUCUUUUCUUUCUCAUGCAUUUUUCUUUUUCAUCUUUUGAACUCAAUGUUUUUAUUUUUCUUUUGCCUUUCACUUUCCCCAUACAACCCUAAACUUGAUCCUUUUCAACACAUACAAUUAUUCUCAACCCAAAUCAAGCUAAAUCAAUUCAACAAGGGUUUUCAUACUGUUUAAGGCGAAGGUUCAAAAAGGAUAUAUCAUUUAAAAUUAUUUGGGUGAAAAUUUAGCUAAGUAAGGACUUUCCAAGCAUGGCCUUGAUCAUAUGACAUACACAU
rnacentral:lncRNA from 1 species